rnacentral:lncRNA from 1 species
UAAAAGUUUUUUUGGCUGAUCAACAAAAUCUAUAAGCAUGUGUUCAAACAAAAGUAAGACCAGCGGGUUGGUCUAGUAGUUGAGAGCUCUCAUAUUAAACGCGAUAUUUGGAUUUGAACAUAUUAAAUGCGAUACUUGAAUUUGAGUUUUAUUAUUGCAAAAUACAAUUUUUUAUUAUCCUUUCCCCUCCUGACCAUACAUAUAUAUAUACAUAUAUGCUUUGACAAAAACACCCUUCCUAAGAAAUUGCUACAAUUAUACCUUUGUCUAUAAUAAAACUCAGUAAAACUCCGCAAUUCAGCAUGUGGAUUUCAAAAGUAGUCAAGUCUAGCUAAAUUGGCAAUUCGGCACCGUCGAAGGAGAAAAAAAAACACGGUUUGAAUUUGUGAAGGCAAUUACUUGAAUGUUCUUUUUCAUUUCAUAAAUUCCUCAAUAAACUCAUAAUCUAAACAUACCAUAAAGGGAAUUUUUAUGAUCCAAUUCAUUAGUUGGUAGGACUCGUUGAACAGAUCUUCUACGCAAAAAGUCUCAUUAAUCAGACUUUAACAGCCUCAUGAUUCUUGCACUUACAAAAAAUGAAUAGCAAAUAUAAUUUUUUAAAGAACCUACAAGACAAAUAUUCUUUGAACAUGAGACUAAUGAUGUCUGAUCGAGUUGAUUUUUUUCAUAACUUGCAUAUUGAGCACACUGUACAAAUGAACAAUUUAAAUUAUAAAUACAAGUCAAUAAUAAGCCCAUACAAAGGCACUAAAAUGUUGUAGUGCUUGGUGGCACUACAAAAAACCCAAAUCUCUUUAACUGCUAUCAUGUUUGAGAAAUCUUACGUUCCCAAAAUUUGAAUUAAGAUUUUUUUUUUAGAAUUUAAAAUAAAAGUUAAAAUUCACUUUAGCGUGUGAAUUCCACAUAAAUAAGUAAAUCUGUUUUAUUUCUUUUAAAUUUUAAAAAAUUUUCUUGUCGAAAUUCUUAAAUUGUAACAUUGCUAUUAACUUUUUGACUUUUUUUUCUCUACUUCAUUUUUGGUAUUCAUCUUAGGUAACCUUUUUACAGUUUUUUAUAUAACUUUUUUUUACUUUGUCAUGACUAGAUAAAAUUAAAAAAUAAACAAACCAAGAUCAAAGUGAAGCAAAAUUCCAAAACAUUGGACAUUCCAACAACAAAAAUGCUUCACCGCUGCCGCCGUUGAGACAAGGAUUUCGGCUCCUUCAAUCUUCCAAUUCAUUUACGGGGUCCUCAGGCUCACAGACAGCUGUGAAAGGGAAAAACUGGUUAGUGGUGGCCCACACACGGCUGACUCCUCUUUACUUCUUCACCCAAAAAGGGAAUUCGUAUCCCCUAUCCCAAUUGGGCUGUCCCAAUAAAAUCUCUCCUGAUAAAUUGCAAAAGAAUAUGUGUCAUUCAUUGGGUAGUAAGAUCGGGGGUUGGGAUAGAGGAAUUGGGUUCGGGGAUUCCUUGCCCCGAAAAGAGAGAGAAAGCAAAUUCUAGAAAGAUUUGGCGGUGGUCGUAUAGGAUUUUAAUAUUUUUCAUUCACCUGCACAUCACCUUCCUUGUAAGCCAAUCGAAAGUGAUAGUGUACCCACCCGAAUUGAUAGUGAUUUGCACUUCUAUUCGUGGAUUUUAGGUACAUAGUAUGAAAGUGUAAAUUACUAAUUUUUAUUAUUCACCACGAGAACAUAUACCGUUCAUUUCUCAAUGUAAGCUGUCCAUCCUAUUAUUUACUUUUAUUAUUUUUAAAAACGAACUGCACAGUGUAAAUUUAUUUGUUAAAUUUCCUUAAAUUAGAUGACAUAUAUAUUUAUACAUUCUCGAAAUUAAAAUUCUGAAUUUAUUCUUGAGCCGAUUAUACCUCAAUCGUUGAUUAUCACCGUUGUAAUAAAUUGUUUUUUGUGCUUCCAAUGUGAAUUCAAGCUAUCAUUUGUUUUUCAAAUGUUGAUAAAGGAUUUCUAGAUAUGAGAGAGAAGUACUGAGGGAAGACUUUAGAAAAGUUGGGGUCAACAAGUUAUACACAUGGAUGACCAACGCUUUUGAAAUUACCAAAUUAGGUUAAUAUAUUAGUCAAAAUUAUUGUUUUUGACUAAUAGAUUUUUUUAUUAAAAUUAACAAUGAUUUUUUUUGAGCUGCUUGAUUUUUGAGGUGUCAUCAAAAUUUUAUACUUUUUUGAUUCCUCUUGAUGAAAAGAGCUCGAAAAUAUAAAAUUUUUUAUCGAAUUUAAAAAAUAAUUCUAUGAAGACCAAAAGAACCAUUUUUAGAUAGUUUUUUAGGGAUAAAACUAAUUUUUUCGCCUUUAGUGAUUUGUUUUUAAAUUAGAUGCAAAUUUUAAUAUUUUCAUAUUUCUCUCGUUAAUAUGAACUAAUUUUUUUAUUAAACUUUUAAAAAAACCACUAAAAAUAAAAUAACUCAGAAAACUAAAUCAGCCAAACGUUAGUUGUACAUCUUUUGAUAGUUAUUUACUUUUUCAUGUUUGGAAUGUAUUUUUUACUUUUUCUUCUUCAAGUCAUUAAUA